rnacentral:misc_RNA from 1 species
CUCUGUUGGCUGUUGGUACUGCCAAGGGCCUCCAGUUUUGGCCCAAAAAAUCGUUUGAAGCAGCAUACAUUCAUAUAUACAAAUUUAAAGAGGAUGGGAAGGUCCUAGAGCUUUUGCAUAAGACACAGGUAGAUGGUGUGCCUCUUGCACUAUGUCAGUUCCAAGGUAGACUGCUGGCUGGUAUUGGGUCUGUCCUUAGGUUGUAUGAUUUGGGGAAGAAACGGCUGCUCCGAAAAUGUGAGAACAAGUUAUUCCCCAACUCGAUCACAGCUAUCCACACCUAUCGUGAUCGGAUUUAUGUUGGUGACAUGCAAGAGUCAUUCCACUACUGUAAGUAUAGGCGUGAUGAAAAUCAACUGUACAUAUUUGCUGAUGACACGGUCCCAAGAUGGCUAACUGCAGCACAGCAUGUAGAUUUUGACACUGUGGCAGGAGCUGAUAAGUUUGGGAAUAUCUACUUUGCGCGAUUAUCUCAGGACGUUUCAGAUGAGAUUGAAGAAGAUCCCACUGGUGGAAAAAUAAAAUGGGAGCAGGGGAAGCUGAAUGGAGCCCCAAAUAAGCUCGAGGAAAUAGUACAAUUUCAUGUUGGUGAUGUGGUCUCUUGCUUGCAAAAGGCGUCACUUAUUCCAGGAGGGGGUGAAUGUAUAAUCUACGGGACUGUAAUGGGGAGUGUUGGGGCAAUGCUUCCAUUUACCUCGAGGGAUGAUGUUGACUUCUUCUCACAUUUGGAGAUGCAUUUGAGGCAGGAGUUCCCACCGUUAUGUGGCAGGGAUCACAUGGCCUACAGAUCUGCCUACUUCCCUGUUAAGGAUGUAAUAGAUGGAGACUUAUGUGAACAAUUCCCAACCUUGCCCAUGGAUAUGCAGCGCAAAAUUGCAGAUGAAUUGGAUAGGACACCAGGCGAGAUUCUGAAAAAGCUUGAAGAAAUAAGAAACAAAAUUAUUUGAGAACAUGUUGAGACGAAGUCGUAUCCAAGCCAAGGGACACUCGCGUGGCAUUAGAAGGCAUGAUGUAGAGAGCUAUGGAUGUUCCAUUUGAUUUGAGUUUUUGUAGAUGCAAGGAAAAGAGACCAGCAUGCGCUCCAAGCUGUUGCUCACUAUAUAAGUAUUUGAAGAAACGAAGCAGAGUGAAUUAUCGCCCAGCUUCUCUGUUGUAAUUAUGCUGUAGCGUAGCCUAGUCUUUUCAAAUGAUUUUUUUAGCAAAUUGCCUGUUAACUGAAUUAUGUAUUUUCAGUUUGUGUCCAUGAAAAAAUGUAGUCACGAUGCAGAGAUUGUAU